rnacentral:piRNA from 1 species
UGGCAGGUGUAGUCCAUCCAUUUGUCU